AAUUCGAACUGCUCUCACUCCGCUUUUCUUUGGCUCUCUGCACCUGGCCCUCCCUCCCAAGAUGGCCACACUUACUCUGAAAAGCCUUCUGAGAGCCAUGACCAACUAGAUGCUUGCGCUUUCACGGCACGAAGGGAGAAUGGGCAGCUGUGCAGUGGCUAGUGGCUUUUCAGGGCAAAUGACAACCUCGUUCCCUCGGCAACCAGCUAUUAGAUCUUUCUCUAGAGGCAUAAAAAACAUGCACUGUGUAAAACAAGAAAAAUCCCUUCUCUCUGAAAACUACUAGACUGGAGUUUUGAAAAAGCAUCUUUGGCAAAGACUUUAGAUUUCUUCCGCUUAGAGCCACAGAAGAAAAAAGACCACUGCAUUGCCAUGAGGACAAAGGGAGGCAGAUGCAGAAAACAUGUAGACCACUUCCUUCCUGCCAAGGUCAUCAGCAGAGCUCUGCAUC